rnacentral:lncRNA from 1 species
GGCGACCUCAUGGAACCCUGAUGCGCCCCUAGGCAGAAAGCUGGGGGCCAGGAGGCUGAGCCCCUCGCUCAGAUCUAAAUGGUGGCACCUGAACCAGACUAGCCAGCGUCCUCAACCCUGGACCCUUCCCUCUGCCCACUGCUGUGUUCGGGGCCUCGGGCAGACAGCCCAUUAGAGGGAGCAGCUGUCACUGUUGGGAGGGAAACAGCCGAGACUGUGGAGUCGCAGAAGCGAGAAGGUACGGUUUGUGGCUUGGCCUGGGACUGCUGUGCUGCUCGACGAGAGAGGCCGGGCGGGCUGCCUGGACGGUGGGCCACCCGGGGCCUGACCUGGGGUGGCUCCCUGGGGACCUUACUGGGGUGGGGGACCACACCCAUCCUCUCCCUCCCUCUUGGCCUUCCUGGAGGACGUCCCCACAGCUGCUGACCUGCCCCGUCUGCCUUGACUCCUGUCCCUGCCGCACCCGACCGUCCCGAGCUCUUCCGGUUCUGCAGUCUUGCAGCAUAUUUCUCCGGCCCGGCCCGGAACCUGCCCUCGCUCAGGCCUCCGCCCCGUCUGCCACCUUGCGGGGCUCCCCUCCAGCUCCUGGCUGAAGUCCAGUCUCCAUGGGACUCGAGAGGCCCCCACCAGCCUGCCCUGCCCACCCCCAUGGCGCCAGCCUCUACCUCUCCAGAUGGCCGCACAGAGUCACCUCCUCCUGGAAGCCCUCCCUGCCCUACAGGCGCAUUGCCCUCGGAGACUGGGCGCCCCGGGAGGGACAGGCCACGAGGAGCAGCCUGGCACAGGGCAGGCUCUGGGAGAACGCUUUGUGAAUGAACGAAAUAGGAUCCAGAGAAUGAAGUGGAAGACGAGAAGGCCUCGCACCAAACCCUGGCCUCCGCACGGCAGCACGAGCCACCAGGCUGGCCGCAGCGCCCGCCAUCCAGGCACUCGGGGAAACACGUGGAUAGAGUUUAUGCCUCCGCCUCCACCACGUACACUCCCUGUUAGGACACAUCCGAGGGGCUUGUGAAACCACACCUCAUCACCGACGGCGUGGUGUCCCCGACAGACGACAGAAGGCCCCGAGCUUUGAACGCCCGCAGCCCCGGAGGGCAGGCUGCAGGAUGACGCCAGGCAGAGGGAAAACCAGGCUGCUUCCCAGGGGUCCCAGCAGGAGGACCGGCUAGUAGAGGUGCCCGUGGGAGGCUGGGGGGCCUUCACCUCUCAGAUCACUGGGCGUGAGAGGCAGGGCUCCGUCAGCCCAUCCAGUGUCAUGGGUGGGUCUCUGUAAAUUGAGAUUAGCUGUUUCCAGUUCACAGAUGUCCUGCCUGGUCCUGCUCCCACAUUGUUGCAGCUCUCGGGGAGCUCUUCCUCCAGGGGGUGAUCACAAACUGUGCGGCCCCCUCUCCUCCCCUCCCCCGCAGUGGCCGGUGGUGCCAGGUCAGCCCUGCCCAGCCACGGGGUGGGACCUCUGCAGUCCGUCCACCGUCCACGGCUUGGUGAUGGACAAGGAUGUCCACCAUCCUGCCGGGAAUCCUGCAUCUUUGUCCAGCUGAGGCAGGGCCGGCGCAGCUUCCAUUCCAUUCCCGCCUUAACGGUGUACUUUGGGGCCAUCAGCGCAGACGCGCGGGCUGGGGCCUCCAUCGCAUCUCUGGUUCUGCUGCGAGAUCUGGGGCUGGUCCCUCCCUUGCCGGGGACCUUGGUUUUGCUCCCACCACCCCGUCUCUGACUUUGGGUGGGUGGGCCUCGGGGAGGUUCCAAGAGGCCAGGUUGGGGGUGGCUGCUUCCGACGUGUGAACGUGCUCCUGGACUUGGAGCUGGGCCCCACUGCUGGGGUCUCCCUGGGGGAGCCAGGAAAGCUGUACGCAAAGAAACGAGAGGUCCACCCUGUUGCUCUUCCCAGGGCGGGAACUGCCCCAGCCCUUCUCCGGAGCGUGGCUGGGUGGUUAAGAAGCUGUGAUAAGGCCACUUGGGGGGAAGCGUCUGUGGUGCUUCAGCAGGACCCACGGGGUUUCCAUCUGCGUGGGCAUCGGCUCUGGGGAAGGCGGAAGCCCCUCUGGGAGGGGAGCCCCGGGCCCUGGGCUCAGGAGGACGCGCCUGCCUUUGCUGCCUCUUUAUCCUUUUCCCUGGUGUGUUUAAGGAGCAUCUCUUCCUUUUGCAAUGGAAACAAGAAAUCAUUUAAAUUACAAAAUUAAGCGCCUGGCCAGAGCGAAACUGACCCGCCGGAAAUUCUCACUGCAUGUUCACCCCAAAAGAGAGACCUUACAAAAGGGGGAGACGCAUUUUGUCCCUUUAAAGGAGCAGAGGUGACUUGAGGGGAAGGGGGGGUGCUCUUUGGAUGGGGGAUGGGGCACCCCCACCCCCAGCCCCAGACGCGGCGGGGCUGCAGCUCUGAGGCAGGGCCCAUCCUUAUGUCUGUUUUUUUUUUUUUUUUUGGCUUUUUAGGGUCACAUAUGGAGGUUCCUGGGCUAGGAGUCGAAUCGGAGCUACAGCUGCCCGGCCUACACCACAGCCACAGCAACGCCAGAUCCGCGCCGCAUCUGCGACCUACACCACAGCUCACGGCAACACCAGAUCCUUAACCCACUGAGCGAGGCCAGGGAUUGAACCUGCAUCCUCGUGGAUCCUAGUCGGGUUCUUUACUGCUGAGCCACGACGGGAACUCCCUUAUGUCUGCUUCGAAUUGAUGCCUGAGAGAAAAUCUGUAGGGAAAGCAGGCCUCUGUGCUGCUGGGAACCAGAGCCGUUAGUUUGCUGUUACAGAUCCUCUGCCCGUGGGCAACAAACCCCACUUGGCAGAUGCGCGUCUGGCCUCGGCUUGCUUUUCUGGAGCCGACUUGGUGACGACCUGGUGUUAGCGACUGCCUUUUGUGGGCACCUACUGUGUGCCCGCCCCGCCACUCAGGAUCCACGUUAAUUCAUCUUCCCUGAUACCCACUUCGGAUGUUAGGGUGUAAACGACCCCUUUUUAAGGUACCAAACCCAGGUUCAGGCCAGGUUCCUGAAGUCCGCGCAGCCUGGAAGGUUCUCUGUGGCCUGUUCGGCUCUGGAGCCCGGGCCUCUCCCCGGGGCUGGCAGCGGUGCCCCAGAGGCUGUGUCCUUGGGCAUUUGAGCUGGUCUGCACGCUGGCCGCACCGCCUGCCCCGGUAGCCAUCGGCUCCCCCGCGUCCCUGCUGGAGCGCUUCCGGCCGGCUUCUAGCCCCUCCUGACCUGUCUGGGGCCCCUCCAAGCGCUUGGGGCCUAGCCGGGCAUCCCCAGGGCCAGGCGUCAGCGCUUCCCGGGGCAGGUCUGUGUGUAACUGGGGUGCUCUGGGCACGACUCCUUGGCUUUUGCAGGGAGGAUGUUUCUCCUCCACGUGAGCUCUUAGAGGGACCACCUUGAAUGCUGAAAACAAGUGUGGACACAGCAGGGCUGAGCCCCUGGGGGUCUCUGUGCCAGCGGGUUUGGGCCUUGCAGCUUGGCCGACGUCGGAGUUCCUGCUGGCAGCUCAGCGCCUCCUGCCCUCGGCUGGGGAGGUGGCCGGUGGUCGGACGAGGCUGGGAGAAAGGUCUGUGGCCCUGGAGUGUCGGGGAUUUCUGUGGCCUGGAAGCCCCUGGGGGCUGGCCGAGGGCACUGCCGUCCCCCGAGCCCCCUGUGCCUCGUGCCUCACCUCUGACCAUGUGUGUAAAUCCCAGGAGACCAGUGUCACUGUCCCCUUGUCACGGAGAAGCUGGAGGCCCGGAGAGGGGACGGGGCUUGUCCAGGGUCACGAGGUCGGGCUGAGCGGGGGUCCCAGCUGCCCCCCGGCCACCCUGCUAAUGGACACAGGCGUGUCCUAGAGGCCAGGGAUCCCUGUGGGCAAGGAGGGGCCUGGGCAUGGUGGGGUCAGCCUCCGGGGCUUCCCGCUGGGCCCAGUCCUGGUUCUGCAGACUCCGCCGGCCUCCGUGGGCCAGAGCCUUGCGGAGGACAGAACCGUGUCAGGGCGGCCCUGUCGUGUGAGGGACCACACCUGGGGCAGGGCUGAGCCAUGCUGCCCGCAGUGCCCCUGGGGCUGGGACGAGGGCGUGGCAUCGGGAGCCAGCCUCGAGCUUGGGCCAUUUGCUCCCUGUCACCUGGAAUGCUCACCACAGCGCUGUCCCCACAUCACGGGGGAGGAAGCUGGACCAGAGACGGCAGUCCCGUGCCUGGAGCCACAUAGCAAGCAGAGGCAGCGGGUCUGGCCGAGGCCCCCUCCCUUCCCCUCCCGCCACAAGCCAUCUCAUGGAUCCUGGGACAUGGGGGCUUGUGUCCCCGGAUCACGGCAGUUAGGGGUUCACUGGUGACCCUGAGGCAGGCCCCUGGGUGCACUCGCAGGACAGUUUCAGAGGCUCCGAGGGCAAGUCACGCGCCACGUGUCCAGCCAGGAGACGCGGCCACUGGAAGCAGGCCUGGAGCUCGGGCUACCCGGGCGCCUCUGUGCCAAGCUCCAGGCAGAGCCUCCACUGCUGGGAGCCCAGCAGUCACUCUGCUUGGUGCCCCCUCGGUGGCUGUUGGGCACCCGAGUAGGUGAGGGGUUACGGGGAAAGCGAGUGAAUGAGGGGCACGGAGGUGGGCGUCCCCUAGGCACUGCUGCGAGGUCGGCCCCUUAGCGGCGGAGGGAGCGCCCCUCCUGGACACAGGACAGCGAUGCAGGCCGGCAGCAGCCAGGCCAGGGCUGACCUCGCCCCAGCUACUCUGGGAACGUGCACAGGCUCUGGGGCGCGGACUCUGUGGUCCCCACCCCGCGGUCCUGGAAGCAAAGGCCAGGAGAGGCGCUAGGCGGUGAGUGAGGAGGGGGCAGCAGGGUCAGACCCCACGCCGUGUGCAGAUGGGGGGCUGGGCUCCCAGGUUCCUGAUUCUGUUUCCCAAGAGGGGAGACCUUGGCACAGCCUCUGAGGCAUCAAGCAGAGGUGGGCACAGGGCUGGCUGCAGGCGCGACCCAGCCUUUGGAGCAGGGGGCCCAGGCGCAUCCUUGGGGACCCCCACAGGUCCCUGUGGCCUCUGCGGGCCUUAGGAGUUUCAUAGGACCCCCAGAGUAGACAGGAACCUGGAGAUGCUGCCCAGGGGAGUGUGCUGACCGCUCCCUGCCCAUGUCCACAUGGCUCUCACCCGUCCAUUGGGAGUUCCAACCCAGUGCUCCGGUGACAGGGCUAUGCUCCUAGGGGGACCGAGGGUCUGUGGGAGCCGCACGCCUGCCCUGGGAGGCAAGUUGGGGGGACUAACACGCUCCAGGGAUGUGGUGCCUGGACCCCCCUUCCUCCCAGCCACCCCUCAUGCUGGCCUGGGGCAGAGGCUCGGGAGAGGAGGGAGCCCGGGUGUGCCCCCAAUCUGAGUCUGGCCCAAGCCCAGCAGAGUUCCCAGCCGUGGCCAAUCACUCCUCGGCCUGGAUUUGCUGUUCCUUUUUCCCAAACGACAAGCUUUCCUGCUUUGGGGGAGCCUGUGCACCUUAAACAGCCUGAGCUCCAGGCGGGGCAGGAGCCGAGACCAGGCUUGGCACUGCCGUGGGCCGAAUGCUGGCUUCGGGGCCUUCGCUAAGCCCUCGGGGCCUCCGUGUUCUGGGGCAGCUGGUUCUGGGGUGUCCUCUCACUGGCUCAUUCGGGAAAGACCCAAGGUGACAUCUGCACCCUUAGUCCUGCCUAGCAGGCCUGGUUCCAAGAGAAAAUAGGACACGUCCUUGCUUCCCAGCUGCCUGAGAGGUGGUCGCUGCCUCGGAGCCGCCAGCCUGUGGGGAGACAGGCAGUACCAGCACCCGUGAGCGGGUGUUAAACUCCGUCUCUUGCUAGAGCUGACCUACGGCUCCCGAUUCAGGAGGUUCCCCAGAGGAGGUGAUCUGAAGGAUGGGUAGGAAUUAGGCCUUGAAUGGCCGGAGAACAUUCCGGACCCAGGGAGUGGGGCCAGGCAGGGCUGGAGCGGAGGGGCUGGGGCUGGGGCUGGGGCCCCACGAGGCGGUGACCUUGGUCUGCCCGGAGCAGGUGCCGCGAGCCCCAUCAGCGCCCUUGCGCCGCAGGCACUGGAGGAUGCGCACGGCUAGGCUGCCAGGGAGCGGCACUUGGGGCUGCGGGAGUGUGAGUCUGGCCCCGGGGACAUCGCCGUCCUUUGCCUCUGACCAAGGUCCUUGCUAACCUCCGGGGGCCGAGGCACCUCGUCUGCAGCCCCUGGCGGGCUGCACCCACCCGCAGGUGGCUGUGAGGGGGGCCUCACGGAGCCCCCCCUGUGCUCGGGGCAUGGGUCACAGCCUGCUGCGCCAACACCUUGGUCACUUUGUUUCUUGCAGAAGGCGGCUGGUCCCAGAGCAUCUCGGAGAAAGCGGACGCCUGUCUUGGCCUUUGGAAGACGCUCAAGGACCACGUGGCCGGGUCCACGGUCUCUGCCCUGCGCCUCGAGGGCGAGGCAGCCCAGGUGCGUGGCCUGACCCGAUGGGCAGCGUGGACCCGUCCCUCAGGAGACCCCGGCCGCUUCCCCACAGGCCCCGCCCUCCCCGGGUCCCCGAGGGCGGGCUCAGCCUGGCACCCCCGCAAGUAGAAGAGAUCCCACCUCAUGACCAAGAGCGAGGGAGCUGAGCAAGAGACGCCCUGGCCUCUGUGGCCCCCUCGAGCCCUGCCACCCCCCCCGUGGCCUGAUCGUGGCACCGGCUGGCCUCCUCGAAGCGCGUGGAAUCAACGAGGCCCGCGUGGGCUGAGUUGUUGGCAGGGAGACUCCUCUGAGCCAGCUCGGCCUGUCACUGCCCGCAGCCAUGCCAAGCUGGGGCACAGUCAGCCCCCGGCCCAUGAGUUGUCUUGCUGGACAGGCUGCCUUGGUGCCCUGAGCCUCGGGCUGCCUGUACGACUCAGGCAG